AGCAUAGCACCUAAUAAGGCCUGCAUCUGCUCCUCGCAGGGGGAUGGGACAGACAGAGAAGGCAUGCCCAGUUGUGGUCCUCAGUGGUCCCUGUUCUGCUAAAGGGGACAAAGGAGGACACAAUCCUGCCUCGUGCUAUUCUCAGUGCAACAGAGAAGCCUGCCUCUACCAUCUAGCUGUGAAGUCCGAAACAAAUCCUUCAGCCUCCACUGUCUGCCUCCGUUCAGGAAGCAAGGGCCAUGCUGACCUUUCUCACAGUGUGCAUAUGAGGACUAAGGGACACUGAUGGGAAAAAAAAAAGAGAAACAAAACAAAGAAAAGAAAAGAAAAAGAAAGAAAGAAAGAAAGAAAGAAAGAAAGAAAGAAAGAAAGAAAGAAAGAAAGAAAGAAAGAAAGAAAGAAGCGUCAGGCCAGAGAAACGGCUCAGCAGGUCUCCGCUUCAUUUGUCCAAACCUGCAUCAAGCCAAGGCCUUGGAGGGAACAAAUGACGGUUCUGAGGAGUUUCCUGGAAGGCUUAAUCAUAGGAGGCAAAGGUGGGGAAAAGCCACAGUGGCAGUGAGGCCUCCGAGGCUCACAACAGUGCGGAGCCUAUAACACUCCAGGCCUGAAGGGGCAGAGGGAGGGGGAGCUUUGUGGAGUAAGAGAUCACCUAGAAAGAAGGUUGUAGGUGGAGCCAGGGACUUUGGAGAGAAGCUGGGUGAGCCACAGGGCUUAAGGAGCAUCAACACCCCCCAUUCCCCACUGUCGUCCUUCUCGGAGCACCACCAUGUAACCAGGAGCACCCUGGCACCUCUCAAGACUCUGGCGAGCAGCUGUGGAGUGUGCACGUGGCUGAGAGAACAUGAGGAGUGGACCUCUACCUCCACCCUAACCCUGCCAAGCCUCCAGAAGGCAUGGCACCCGCUGUGGAAAAAGACUGCCUGAGCACAUUGCCCAACGCCUUCCGGUUCCCACUGAGAUCAGGAUGUAGCUCACAGCCCCCACUCCAGCAUCAUGUCUGCCUGCUGCCAUGCUCCCCGACGUGAUAAUCAUGGACUGUCAACAAGCCCUCAAUUAAAUACUUUCACUUCUAA